CGAUGAAAUGUCAAGGAAGAAGAUGGAUUUGACAGCAGAGGAGCUGAAGGAAGAGAAGGACUUGGCCUACUCAUGCCUCUCUUAAACAGCCAAUACUCUUCUUCCGAAGCCAUUUUUCAUCUAUCAGGUGUGAGAUCAUCAUAGCUGUUAGGGCUGUGUCUGAAUAAGAUCUCCAAACACUGUUUUAUAACCUCUUUGUGGGUUUGUCUUCGUAUUGAGCAUUGUCCCUGGUUUGUUUCUAAACCAGGAUAUCGUUUACUCUGUGGUUCAUGUGUCUUGUAUGGUUUUAUCCAUAAUAAUUUUUUAAAAAAUUGGUAACUUCAUGUUCUCCAUUAGUUUUGGUCUUAGUCAGUACUCAGUAGCCCAAAACUGAUACCGAGUUUGUGCAGUUAUGGGGAAUGGCGUUGUGUUGCAAGAGGGAACGUCUGGUUCUUGAACACUAGAUUAGAGGUUUCUAUUCUCGAUGGCCCAAUGAAUCAGAAAUCGAAUCAGAUUCAUGAGCCCACCAUGUAAAUGAAGAUAACUCAAUUUCCGCACUAAAGGCCUUACUAAAAUACUUCAAACAAAAUUUAAUUCCUUGUUAAAUAUCUAACGAUCCCAAGAAAAAAAUCUUGGAUGAGCAAAUGAAAAUGAGAUUUCAGUUAAAGAAAAGAUCCAAUAAUAUUGGAUUGCAACUAGUUUAGUGGAUAAAAGUUGUCUAACUACUUUUGUCUUGUGGAUAGAGUUGUCCACAUAUCUUGCAUGUGGCUAGUGUUACUCUACUCAACCAAACAUAAUCCCCAAGGUAAGAGUUCCUAGAUUGUUCUUGAUUAUACUUUCCUGGUUAGGCCAAGGCUUGUUUCUUAUUUAGUAGAUUUUCAUCUUUUGUUUUCUGACAGCUUCGUUGAAUCAUUCUCUGUUAGCUAUAUGUAUGAGCUUGUGGUCUGAAAAUUAAAUCAUGGCAGAAUCUGGACAGAGAGUGAAGCUUUAGCUGAUUUGGUCUCCAUCUCGGAUCAUAAACUAUGGCGACGAACAGAAAGACUAUAGUGUGGUUCAGAAGAGACUUAAGGAUCGAGGAUAACCCUGCACUAGCAGCAGCUGCUCGCGAAGGAUCAGUCUUCCCUGUUUUCAUUUGGUGCCCUGAAGAAGAAGGUCAGUUUCAUCCAGGAAGGGCUUCAAGAUGGUGGAUGAAACAGUCUCUUGCUCACUUGAACCAAUCCUUGAAGUCUCUUGGCUCCCACCUCACGUUUAUCAAAACACAUAGCACGGUUUCCGCUAUCUUGGACUGUGUCCGCGCCACUGGUGCCACAAAAGUCGUCUUCAACCACCUCUAUGGUAACUCAUCUUCAGUUCAUUUGGUUAGUUUAUCGAAUAUGCUUAGUUUUAAUGAAGUUAUGGUUUCCUUGGUUGUAGAUCCUGUUUCGCUAGUUAGAGACCAUAACGUAAAGGAGAAACUUAUGGAACGUGGGAUCUCUGUGCAAGGCUACAACGGUGAUCUAUUGUAUGAGCCUUGGGAGAUAAACUCCGAAAAUGGCAAACCUUUUACGAGUUUUGCUCCUUACUGGAAGAAAUGCUUAGACAUGUCGGUUGAAUCCGUUAUGCUUCCUCCUCCUUGGCGUUUGAUGCCUCUAACUGCAGGUAAAAUACCCAGGGCCGGUCCUGAGAUUUUAGACCCUGUAGGCGAUUUAGUAAAAAUUUCAACAACUUUUUUUUAAAAAAAUUGGGGACUUAUAUCUAAAUCAUUUUCAUUCGGUUUUGCCCAGGACCGGCCCUGGUAAAACCUUAAAAGAAUAUGUAAAAAGAACAUAAAACAUUUUCGACUUUUAUGGGGACACAACUGUUGAAAAAGUGUGUGUGUUUCUGUGUUCUUUAGCAGCUGAAGGGGUGUGGGCAUGUUCAAUAGAAGAACUAGGGCUAGAAGACGAGGCAGAGAAGCCAAGCAAUGCGCUCUUAACUAGAGCUUGGUCACCAGGCUGGAGCAACGCUGAUAAGACACUAACCGAGUUCAUCGAGAAACAGUUGAUAGACUACGCAAAGAACAGCAAGAAAGUAGUUGGGAACUCAACCUCGAUGCUCUCUCCCUAUCUCCACUUCGGGGAAAUAAGCGUCAGACGUGUUUUCCAGUGCGUCCGUAUGAAAAAAAUCAUAUGGGCAAGAGACAAAAACACUGAAGGAGAAGAGAGCGCUGAUCUUUUCCUUAGAGGGAUUGGUCAAAGAGAGUAUUCUCGGUAUAUAUGUUUCAACUUCCCUUUUACUCACGAGCAGUCCUUGUUGAGUCAUCUUCGUUUCUUCCCUUGGGACGCUGACGUUGGCAAGUUCAAGGCGUGGAGUCAAGGCAGGACUGGGUAUCCGUUGGUGGAUGCUGGGAUGAGGGAGCUUUGGGCUACUGGAUGGAUGCAUAACAGGAUAAGAGUCAUUGUUUCGAGCUUUGCUGUGAAGUUUCUCCUUCUUCCGUGGAAAUGGGGAAUGAAGUAUUUUUGGGAUACUCUUUUGGAUGCUGAUUUGGAAUGUGACAUCAUUGGCUGGCAGUAUAUCUCCGGGAGCUUACCUGAUGGCCACGAGCUUGAUCGCUUGGACAAUCCUGCGGUAAACUUACAUAUCUUUUACUAUAGAACUUGGUUUUCGGGUCCUCGAAUAUAUGGGCCUUACUUAAGCCCAUAUAUUGUAUUAUUAUCUACGGAUCUUUUUCCUAAUUUAAAUCUGAAUUUAUUAUUUAUUUAUUCCUUGGAGAUAAGUGGCAUGACACAGCAGCUCUUCGAUAUCUCCGAUAAAUAGAGACCGUAGUGAGCUCCCAAAGGCUAUAACUCACGAGCCUCCCCAGAAACCUCAAAUACCGAUCCAUUUCCCGGCGAUAAUCGACGAUCUAGAUCCGAUGGCGAAGGAACCAGUUCGCGUUCUCGUUACCGGUGCUGCAGGUAGCUUUAGCUUUUCUCAGAUCUUUGAUUUUUGACCUCGUGCUUACUGUAGUCAGAUCUCUGUGUAGUCGAUGUUAUAGAUCGAUGAAUCAGACGUUGAUUCUAGUGAUAGGAUGAGAUCUGAUUAGAUCCUCAUUUUGCUAGGCUUGAAACGAACCAUGUGAUUUUUAUAGUCUGAUGCUCCGUGGUAUUGUAAUCAUGCAUGAACCAGUUAAAACUGUAGAGUUUUGAUCUAGAAGCUGACGUGUUACCACAACGCUGAAGUCAACUUUAUUUAUUUAUUUAUUAUUUUAUUUGAUAGCAUAUUCAUGUUUGUUCGUUGACUAAAUUGGAUAUCUUAUUAUUUUAUAGAUUGAAAACGGUUUUGGUUAACUCUAUAUUGUAUGAUUUGGAUAUAGUUUAUAGUUUGUGAAUGAAAACGAUUGUGAUUUUUGAUGCAGGACAAAUUGGAUACGCUCUUGUCCCUAUGAUUGCGAGAGGUAUCAUGCUUGGUGCUGACCAGCCUGUGAUCCUCCACAUGUUGGAUAUUCCUCCUGCUGCUGAAGCACUCAACGGUGUCAAGAUGGAGUUGAUCGAUGCUGCUUUCCCCCUUCUCAAAGGUAGUUUCAUUUUCUGAUGUUGUAUUUUCAUUUUUUGCUCAAGUGAGAGAGAUAAUGAACAUUUGACGUGUUUUGUUCAGGUGUUGUUGCUACAACUGAUGCCGUUGAGGGAUGCACUGGAGUCAACGUUGCUGUUAUGGUUGGUGGUUUCCCGAGGAAAGAAGGAAUGGAGAGGAAGGAUGUUAUGACCAAGAACGUCUCCAUUUACAAGUCUCAGGCUACUGCUUUGGAGAAGCAUGCCGCUCCAAACUGCAAGGUAAAAAAAGAUCUGCGUGUCUUUUAAAUCAGUUUCUUUCUUGAAGACAAAAACAAAUGCUUUAUAUUCUCAAUUGGGUUCUAGUUUGUGAGACUCUUUCUCAAGACAUUUUUCUCUUUUUUUUUUAAUUUUCAGGUUCUUGUUGUUGCAAACCCUGCAAACACCAACGCAUUGAUCCUGAAGGAAUUUGCACCAUCCAUCCCUGAGAAGAACAUUACCUGUCUGACAAGGCUUGACCACAACAGGGCCUUGGGUCAGAUCUCCGAGAGGUUGAGCGUGCCCGUGUCUGAUGUUAAGAACGUGAUCAUCUGGGGAAACCACUCAUCCUCACAGUACCCAGAUGUCAACCACGCUAAGGUGCAGACAUCGGCUGGAGAGAAGCCAGUCCGUGAGCUCGUCAAGAACGAUGAAUACUUGAAUGGAGAAUUCAUCACCACCGUUCAGCAACGUGGAGCUGCUAUCAUCAAGGCGAGGAAGUUGUCAAGUGCACUUUCUGCUGCUAGCUCUGCUUGUGACCACAUCCGUGACUGGGUCCUUGGAACUCCAGAGGUUCAUAAUAACCCUCUUCCCAUUAUUCGCAGACCCGUUAUAAUAAACAGAUGAUUGUUGUUCUAAUAUGAGGUCUUUCUUUUGUUCAGGGUACAUUUGUUUCAAUGGGAGUAUACUCCGAUGGCUCUUACGACGUUCCAGCUGGACUUAUCUACUCCUUCCCUGUCACUUGCCGCAAUGGAGAGUGGAGUAUUGUCCAAGGUAAGAACAAGCCUUUACAAUUCAAAUACUUAAUUCUGAAUACCUUACCGUGUUCAUGCUAAAUUGAAUUUGUUUGAUCAGGGCUUCCCAUCGAUGAAAUGUCAAGGAAGAAGAUGGAUUUGACAGCAGAGGAGCUGAAGGAAGAGAAGGACUUGGCCUACUCAUGCCUCUCUUAAACAGCCAAUACUCUUCUUCCGAAGCCAUUUUUCAUCUAUCAGGUGUGAGAUCAUCAUAGCUGUUAGGGCUGUGUCUGAAUAAGAUCUCCAAACACUGUUUUAUAACCUCUUUGUGGGUUUGUCUUCGUAUUGAGCAUUGUCCCUGGUUUGUUUCUAAACCAGGAUAUCGUUUACUCUGUGGUUCAUGUGUCUUGUAUGGUUUUAUCCAUAAUAAUUUUUUAAAAAAUUGGUAACUUCAUGUUCUCCAUUAGUUUUGGUCUUAGUCAGUACUCAGUAGCCCAAAACUGAUACCGAGUUUGUGCAGUUAUGGGGAAUGGCGUUGUGUUGCAAGAGGGAACGUCUGGUUCUUGAACACUAGAUUAGAGGUUUCUAUUCUCGAUGGCCCAAUGAAUCAGAAAUCGAAUCAGAUUCAUGAGCCCACCAUGUAAAUGAAGAUAACUCAAUUUCCGCACUAAAGGC
rnacentral:lncRNA from 1 species